rnacentral:rRNA from 1 species
AAACGGCCGCGUUAGCGUGAGCGUGCUAAGGUAGCGUAAUAAUUAGCCUUUUAAUUGGAGGCCAGUGAAUGGCAAGACUAGGAACAUCUUUACCAUUGCAUAUUAAAAAACUUUUCGUCUAAGUGAAAAAACUUAGAUAAUAAAGGUAGACGAAAAGACCCCGCGGAACUUUACCUUUUCUCAUACUACUGUAUACCAACUCUAAGGUAUUUAAGGUUUGAUUGGGGCAAUCUUGGAACCAACAAAGCUUCCAAACCCUGAUAAAAUUUAUUUAAAAUUUAUUAAGGACCAAAAAGAAGUUACCCCGGGGAUAACAGCGUAAUUCAACUAAAGAGUACAUAUCGAAAGUUGGGUUUGCGACCUCGAUGUUGGCUUAAGGAUAUCCACAUAAGUCAACC